UACAGCGAAGAGCUUUAUAUUGUGAGAAUCACAAGAUCCAGACCUACAUUUUGAUGCAUAGUAUGUCUCUGAAAUAUUAACAAUGAAGGUACAGUCGCAGUUUAGAAAUUGCCCUUCAAAUUUCAGGUGGCUAGAGUGGAGUUUCAAACAAAUGGUCAUAUUGUGAAAACUAUGGCUUAGCCGUGGACAUGUUUAGUGGCAGCAGGGAUAGCUGAACGUUUUGAAAUAAGAUUUGUGUAGGUGGGCCUGAAAAUAAGGGAGUGGUGGCAGUUUAGAAAUCAUGCCCUGAUUUUUCAGCUUUUGCCAGCUCCCACUCUAGCUUUGAACAUUUCGCCAUUCAUUCCUUUGGGACCAAUUUCGCCUCAAAAACAACAUUUUGUGAACCAUUCAGCAAAACGUUCCACAAAGUAAUUGCACACCAAUCGGGAACAAUCUGCACGUUUCGGUAUAUUACU